rnacentral:rRNA from 1 species
AAAUUGAAGAGUUUGAUCAUGGCUCAGAUUGAACGCUGGCGGCAGGCCUAACACAUGCAAGUCGAACGGUAGCACAGAGAGCUUGCUCUCGGGUGACGAGUGGCGGACGGGUGAGUAAUGUCUGGGAAACUGCCUGAUGGAGGGGGAUAACUACUGGAAACGGUGGCUAAUACCGCAUAACGUCGCAAGACCAAAGAGGGGGACCUUCGGGCCUCUUGCCAUCAGAUGUGCCCAGAUGGGAUUAGCUAGUUGGUGAGGUAACGGCUCACCAAGGCGACGAUCCCUAGCUGGUCUGAGAGGAUGACCAGCCACACUGGAACUGAGACACGGUCCAGACUCCUACGGGAGGCAGCAGUGGGGAAUAUUGCACAAUGGGCGCAAGCCUGAUGCAGCCAUGCCGCGUGUAUGAAGAAGGCCUU